UAGCUCAGUUGGUAAAGAAUCUGCCUGCAAUGCAGGAGACCCAGGCUCAAUUCCUGG
rnacentral:tRNA from 1 species